AACCUAGCACACCUGCGGUGUGUACCUGCGGAAGGAUCAUUAUUGAAUUCAUAUAUAUAUGCAAAAGAGUUGUGCUGGUAGUUAUUACAUGUGCACACUCUGGAGCUAUAUAAACAUAUACACACCUCUGUGAACUAACUGUAGUCAGAAGGAAUUCUGAUUAUGAUUAAACUCUAUAUAACUCUUAUUGUAAUGUUACAUAGAACGAUCUCAUAUUGAAACUUUUCUCUCUUUUGUAGA
rnacentral:misc_RNA from 1 species